rnacentral:rRNA from 1 species
AGCAGCCGCGGUAAUUCCAGCUCCAAUAGCGUAUAUUAAAGCUGUUGCAGUUAAAAAGCUCGUAGUUGAAUUUCGGGAUCAAUGCGUCGGUCGUGCCUCGGUACGUACUAACGAUAUUGAUUUCUCCCUUCUGACGAACCGUGAUGUCAUUAAUUUGGUGUUACGGGGAGUUAGGACUGUUACUUUGAAAAAAUUAGAGUGUUUAAAGCAAGCAAUCGCUCGAAUACAUUAGCAUGGAAUAAUGAAAUAGGACGUUCGAACCUAUUUUGUUGGUUUCUAGGAUCGACGUAAUGAUUAAUAGGGAUAGUUGGGGGCAUUAGUAUUCAAUUGUCAGAGGUGAAAUUCUUGGAUUUAUUGAAGACUAACUACUGCGAAAGCAUUUGCCAAGGAUGUUUUCAUUAAUCAAGAACGAAAGUUAGGGGAUCGAAGACGAUCAGAUACCGUCGUAGUCUUAACCAUAAACUAUGCCGACUAGGGAUCGGAUGAUGUUAAUUUUUUAAUGACUCA